AUGUUUGUCGUGAGUUGUUCUUAUGUGCACAUGUUAGAUGUCGUUGCCUCACGGUGUCGUUUGCCCUUUCAUUCGUACUUACGAGAGGUCAUGGAUGAUGGGGUCGUAAUCGGAGGGGUGGAAAUAGAGGUCCAUGUCCUUGGAAGCGAUGCCUUGACUGUGAGGAGGUUUUUCUGGUCCCAGGACGGUGUGGGGUAUCUUUCUCUUUACAAUGAUGCUGCUUUCCAGGCCAUUUGUUUUUUACAGGGUUUGUAUGGGUUUGUUGUCUUAGAUUACAACUACCAUGGUAUGAUGACCUAUCGAGAGCUUGCACGCUCCGCCGUUGUUUUAGCAGCCUCGCUGGUUCGAUCUUCGGGUUCUGUUGUUGGUGGUGAUGCAUCUGCUGCUGUGGGUGACGUCAAUGAUGCUUCACGGCAGCAGAUGCUACAUGCUAGGUUGGUGUCUACAGCCUGCAGCUUCUAG
rnacentral:rRNA from 1 species